UACGGAGGAUCCGAGCGUUAUCCGGAUUUAUUGGGUUUAAAGGGUGCGCAGGCGGGAAAUUAAGUCGGCGGUGAAAUUUUGCGGCUCAACCGUAAAAGUGCCUUCGAAACUGGUUUCCUUGAGUGUAGAUGAAGUAGGCGGAAUUUGUGGUGUAGCGGUGAAAUGCAUAGAUAUCACGAGGAACUCCGAUUGCGCAGGCAGCUUACUAAACUACUACUGACGCUCAGGCACGAAGGCGUGGGGAUCAAACAGGAUUAGAUACCCUGGUAGUCCCUGA
rnacentral:rRNA from 1 species